rnacentral:rRNA from 1 species
UACGUAGGGGGCAAGCGUUGUCCGGAGUUACUGGGCGUAAAGGGCGUGUAGGUGGUUUCGUAAGUCAGGGGUGAAAUCCUGGAGCUCAACUCCAGAACUGCCUUUGAUACUGAAGAUCUUGAGUUCGGGAGAGGUGAGUGGAACUGCGAGUGUAGAGGUGAAAUUCGUAGAUAUUCGCAAGAACACCAGUGGCGAAGGCGGCUCACUGGCCCGAUACUGACGCUGAGGCACGAAAGCGUGGGGAGCAAACAGG